rnacentral:rRNA from 1 species
GUAGGUGGCAAGCGUUGUCCGGAAUUAUUGGGCGUAAAGCGCGCGCAGGCGGUCCUUUAAGUCUGAUGUGAAAGCCCACGGCUCAACCGUGGAGGGUCAUUGGAAACUGGGGGACUUGAGUACAGAAGAGGAAAGCGGAAUUCCAAGUGUAGCGGUGAAAUGCGUAGAGAUUUGGAGGAACACCAGUGGCGAAGGCGGCUUUCUGGUCCGUAACUGACGCUGAGGCGCGAAAGCGUGGGGAGCAAACAGGAUUAGAUACCCUGGUAGUCCACGCCGUAAACGAUGAGUGCUAAGUGCUAGGGGGGUUUCCCGCCCCCUUAGUGCUGCAGCUAACGCAUUAAGCACUCCGCCUGGGGAGUACGGCCGCAAGGCUG